CCUACGGGAGGCAGCAGUGGGGAAUAUUGGACAAUGGGCGAAGGCCUGAUCCAGCAAUGCCGCGUGAGUGAUGAAGGCCUUAGGGUUGUAAAGCUCUUUUACCAGGGAUGAUAAUGACAGUACCUGGAGAAUAAGCUCCGGCUAACUCCGUGCCAGCAGCCGCGGUAAUACGGAGGGAGCUAGCGUUGUUCGGAAUUACUGGGCGUAAAGCGUGCGUAGGCGGCUAUUCAAGUCAGAGGUGAAAGCCCGGGGCUCAACCCCGGAACGGCCUUUGAAACUAGGUAGCUAGAAUCUUGGAGAGGUUAGUGGAAUUCCGAGUGUAGAGGUGAAAUUCGUAGAUAUUCGGAAGAACACCAGUGGCGAAGGCGACUAACUGGACAAGUAUUGACGCUGAGGUACGAAAGCGUGGGGAGCAAACAGGAUUAGAUACCCUGGUAGUCCACGCCGUAAACGAUGAUAACUAGCUGUCCGGGCACUUGGUGCUUGGGUGGCGCAGCUAACGCAUUAAGUUAUCCGCCUGGGGAGUACGGUCGCAAGAUUAAAACUCAAAGGAAUUGACGG
rnacentral:rRNA from 1 species